UACGUAGGGUGCAAGCGUUUAAUCGGAAUUACUGGGCGUAAAGCGUGCGCAGGCGGUUUUUGUAAGUCUGUCGUGAAAUCCCCCGGGCUCAACCUGGGAAUUGCGAUGGAGACUGCAAGGCUAGAAUCUGGCAGAGGGGGGGGUAGAAUUCCACGUGUAGCAGUGAAAAUGCGUAGAGAUGUGGAGGAACACCGAUGGCGAAGGCAGCCCCCCUGGGUCAAGA
rnacentral:rRNA from 1 species